GUGAAUUGAAGAAUCAGUUAUUUUCCCACCUCUCACAGUAAUACAAGUACACAAAUGAGGAGGGAGGAUCGCACACGCCUGCCACAGCAAAGCUGGAAAGGAGAGUAGGGUGGCAUUUCCUAGUGGGUCUGCACCUGAAGUGCUCAUGUGGCUGCCCAGCUGCUCCAGCCAAAGGCAGAUUCUUCUGGUCAUGGUAGGGUAACUCCCUGUUUCCUUUCUCUGCCAUUUAGUUUUUUCUUUGAGUUC
rnacentral:lncRNA from 1 species